rnacentral:rRNA from 1 species
CUACGUGCCAGCAGCCGCGGUAAUACGGAAGGUCCGGGCGUUGUCCGGAAUUAUUGGGUUUAAAGGGAGCGCAGGCGGGAGUGUAAGUCAGCUGUUAAAUAUCAGGGCCCAACUCUGUUAUGCAGUUGAAACUAUAUUUCUUGAGUACGCACAGGGAUGGUGGAAUUCAGGGUGUAGCGGUGAAAUGCUUAGAUAUCCUGAAGAACUCCGAUCGCGAAGGCAGCCAUCCGGAGCGUAACUGACGCUGAGGCUCGAAGGUGCGGGUAUCGAACAGGAUUAGAUACCCUGGUAGUCCGCACAGUAAACGAUGGAUGCCCGUUGUUAGUUCACUUAAGAAUUAGCGACCAAGCGAAAGCAUUAAGCAUCCCACCUGGGGAGUACGCCGGCAACGGUGAAACUCAAAGGAAUUGACGGGGGCCCGCACAAGCGGAGGAACAUGUGGUUUAAUUCGAUGAUACGCGAGGAACCUUACCCGGGCUUGAAUUGCAGACGAACGAUUCAGAGAKAUGAGG